UAACGAACGCUAGCGGCAGGCUUAACACAUGCAAGUCGAGGGGCAGCGCGAGGUAGCAAUACUUUGGCGGCGACCGGCGGAAGGGUGCGUAACGCGUGAGCAACAUGCCCGUAUGAGGGGGAUAGUCAUUGGAAACGAUGCGUAAUACCCCGUAACAACAGAGGCGGCAUCGCCUUUGUUUGAAAGAUUUAUCGCAUACGGAUUGGCUCGCGUGACAUUAGCUAGUUGGCGGGGUAACGGCCCACCAAGGCGACGAUGUCUAGGGGAACUGAGAGGUUGGUCCCCCACACUGGAACUGAGACACGGUCCAUACUCCUACGGGAGGCAGCAGUGAGGAAUUAUUGGUCAUGGGCGGAAGCCUGAACCAGCCAUGCCGCGUGAAGGACUAAGGCCCUAUGGGUCGUAAACUUCUUUUGACGGGGAGCAAUAAGGGCGUCGUGCACGUCCGAUGAGAGUACUCGUCGAAUAAGCAUCGGCUAACUCCGUGCCAGCAGCCGCGGUAAUACGGAGGAUGCAAGCGUUAUCCGGAUUUAUUGGGUUUAAAGGGUGCGUAGGCUGACGUGUAAGUCAGAGGUGAAAUCUCCGGGCUCAACCUGGGAACUGCCUUUGAUACUGCAUGUAUGGAGUUCGGAUGCCGUGGGAGGAAUGGGCAGUGUAGCGGUGAAAUGCAUAGAUAUUGCCCAGAAACACCGAUUGCGAAGGCAUUAUCACGAAAUCCGACACUGACGCUGAGGCACGAAAGCGUGGGGAUCAAAACAGGAUUUCCUGAA
rnacentral:rRNA from 1 species